GGAGGUAUAGCUCAGUUGGUAGAGUGUUUGCCUUGCAUGCACAAGGUCCUGAGUUCAAUCCCCAGAAUCCCCU
rnacentral:tRNA from 1 species